GACCCCAGCUCAGGCGGGAUUACCCGCUGAGUUUAAGCAUAUCAU
rnacentral:rRNA from 1 species